rnacentral:rRNA from 1 species
CCUACGGGAGGCAGCAGUAAGGAAUCUUCCGCAAUGGGCGAAAGCCUGACGGAGCAACGCCGCGUGGGCGAUGAAGGCCUUCGGGUCGUAAAGCCCUUUUCUGUGGGACGAUAAUGACGGUACCACAGGAAUAAGCCACGGCUAACUACGUGCCAGCAGCCGCGGUAAUACGUAGGUGGCUAGCGUUAUCCGGAUUCACUGGGCGUAAAGAGCGCGUAGGCGGUGUGCUAAGGUGGACGUGAAAGCCCCCGGCUUAACCGGGGGAGGUCGUCCGAUACGUGUGCCCUUGAGGGUGGCCGGGGAAAGCGGAAUUCCCGGUGUAGUGGUGAAAUGCGUAGAUAUCGGGAGGAACACCAGUGGCGAGGGCGGCUUUCUAGCCCACUCCUGACGCUGAGGCGCGAAAGCGUGGGGCGC